rnacentral:rRNA from 1 species
AAGGAAUUGCUUAUUGCACCACAUGUGUUUUUCUUUGAAACAAACUUGCUUUGGCGGUGGGCCCAGCCUGCCGCCAGAGGUCUAAACUUACAACCAAUUUUUUAUUAACUUGUCACACCAGAUUAUUACUAAAUAGUCAAAACUUUCAACAACGGAUCUCUUGGUUCUCGCAUCGAUGAAGAACGCAGCGAAAUGCGAUACGUAAUAUGAAUUGCAGAUAUUCGUGAAUCAUCGAAUCUUUGAACGCACAUUGCGCCCUCUGGUAUUCCGGAGGGCAUGCCUGUUUGAGCGUCGUUUCUCCCUCAAACCGCUGGGUUUGGUGUUGAGCAAUACGACUUGGGUUUGCUUGAAAGACGGUAGUGGUAAGGCGGGAUCGCUUUGACAAUGGCUUAGGUCUAACCAAAAACAUUGCUUGCGGCGGUAACGUCCACCACGUAUAUCUUCAAACUUUGACCUCAAAUCAGGUAGGACUACCCGCUGAACUUAAGCAUAUCAAAAGUGGGGGAGGAAA